UUCACUCUUUCGAGCCUUGCGCUACUCAGCGCAAGAUUCGUCAUUUUUGUGGUGACUGCCGGGACAUGCCAGGCAUCGUCAAGGCCAGGCGUUGCCAAGCGGUAGCAAUCCACCAAGACAACGUACACCACGUCUACCGGCGCCAUAUAAAUUUGUACCACCUCGUAUAGCACGUCGAAAAGGAAUGCUUCCUUUUGAUCCAGAAAACCCCAGACAACAUUUCCCCGGAUU